rnacentral:rRNA from 1 species
CUUCGGGUUGUAAACCGCUUUCGCUCAUGGUCAAGCCGCAACUGUGGGUUGUGGUGAGGGUAGUGGGUAAAGAAGCGCCGGCUAACUACGUGCCAGCAGCCGCGGUAAUACGUAGGGAGCGAGCGUUGUCCGGAAUUAUUGGGCGUAAAGGGCUUGUAGGCGGUUGGUCGCGUCUGCCGUGAAAUCCUCUGGCUUAACUGGGGGCGUGCGGUGGGUACGGGCUGACUUGAGUGCGGUAGGGGAGACUGGAACUCCUGGUGUAGCGGUGGAAUGCGCAGAUAUCAGGAAGAACACCGGUGGCGAAGGCGGGUCUCUGGGCCGUUACUGACGCUGAGGAGCGAAAGCGUGGGGAGCGAACAGGAUUAGAUACCCUGGUAGUCCACGCUGUAAACGUUGGGCACUAGGUGUGGGGGCCACCCGUGGUUUCUGCGCCGUAGCUAACGCUUUAAGUGCCCCGCCUGGGGAGUACGGCCGCAAGGCUAAAACUCAAAGGAAUUGACGGGGGCCCGCACAAGCGGCGGAGCAUGCGGAUUAAUUCGAUGCAACGCGAAGAACCUUACCAAGGCUUGACAUAUACUGGACCGCAUCAGAGAUGGUGUUUCCCUUCGGGGCUGGUAUACAGGUGGUGCAUGGUUGUCGUCAGCUCGUGUCGUGAGAUGUUGGGUUAAGUCCCGCAACGAGCGCAACCCUCGUUCUAUGUUGCCAGCACGUAAUGGUGGGGACUCAUAGGAGACUGCCGGGGUCAACUCGGAGGAAGGUGGGGAUGACGUCAAAUCAUCAUGCCCCUUAUGUCUUGGGCUUCACGCAUGCUACAAUGGCCGGUACAGAGGGUUGCGAUACUGUGAGGUGGAGCUAAUCCCUAAAAGCCGGUCUCAGUUCGGAUUGGGGUCUGCAACUCGACCCCAUGAAGUCGGAGUCGCUAGUAAUCGCAGAUCAGCAACGCUGCGGUGAAUACGUUCCCGGGCCUUGUACACACCGCCCGUCAAGUCACGAAAGUUGGUAACACCCAAAGCCGGUGGCCUAACCCUUCGGGGAGGGAGCCGUCUAAGGUGGGAUUGGCGAUUGGGACUAAGUCGUAACAAGGUAGCCGUACCG